GAUGAACGCUAGCUACAGGCUUAACACAUGCAAGUCGAGGGGCAGCAUGGUCUUAGCUUGCUAAGGCCGAUGGCGACCGGCGCACGGGUGAGUAACACGUAUCCAACCUGCCGUCUACUCUUGGACAGCCUUCUGAAAGGAAGAUUAAUACAAGAUGGCAUCAUGAGUCCGCAUGUUCACAUGAUUAAAGGUAUUCCGGUAGACGAUGGGGAUGCGUUCCAUUAGAUAGUAGGCGGGGUAACGGCCCACCUAGUCUUCGAUGGAUAGGGGUUCUGAGAGGAAGGUCCCCCACAUUGGAACUGAGACACGGUCCAAACUCCUACGGGAGGCAGCAGUGAGGAAUAUUGGUCAAUGGGCGAGAGCUUGAACCAGCCAAGUAGCGUGAAGGAUGACUGCCCUAUGGGUUGUAAACUUCUUUUAUAAAGGAAUAAAGUCGGGUAUGGAUACCCGUUUGCAUGUACUUUAUGAAUAAGGAUCGGCUAACUCCGUGCCAGCAGCCGCGGUAAUACGGAGGAUCCGAGCGUUAUCCGGAUUUAUUGGGUUUAAAGGGAGCGUAGAUGGAUGUUUAAGUCAGUUGUGAAAGUUUGCGGCUCAACCGUAAAAUUGCAGUUGAUACUGGAUAUCUUGAGUGCAGUUGAGGCAGGCGGAAUUCGUGGUGUAGCGGUGAAAUGCUUAGAUAUCACGAAGAACUCCGAUUGCGAAGGCAGCCUGCUAAGCUGCAACUGACAUUGAGGCUCGAAAGUGUGGGUAUCAAACAGGAUUAGAUACCCUGGUAGUCCACACGGUAAACGAUGAAUACUCGCUGUUUGCGAUAUACUGCAAGCGGCCAAGCGAAAGCGUUAAGUAUUCCACCUGGGGAGUACGCCGGCAACGGUGAAACUCAAAGGAAUUGACGGGGGCCCGCACAAGCGGAGGAACAUGUGGUUUAAUUCGAUGAUACGCGAGGAACCUUACCCGGGCUUAAAUUGCAGAUGAAUUACGGUGAAAGCCGUAAGCCGCAAGGCAUCUGUGAAGGUGCUGCAUGGUUGUCGUCAGCUCGUGCCGUGAGGUGUCGGCUUAAGUGCCAUAACGAGCGCAACCCUUGUUGUCAGUUACUAACAGGUUCCGCUGAGGACUCUGACAAGACUGCCAUCGUAAGAUGUGAGGAAGGUGGGGAUGACGUCAAAUCAGCACGGCCCUUACGUCCGGGGCUACACACGUGUUACAAUGGGGGGUACAGAGGGCCGCUACCACGCGAGUGGAUGCCAAUCCCCAAAACCUCUCUCAGUUCGGACUGGAGUCUGCAACCCGACUCCACGAAGCUGGAUUCGCUAGUAAUCGCGCAUCAGCCACGGCGCGGUGAAUACGUUCCCGGGCCUUGUACACACCGCCCGUCAAGCCAUGGGAGCCGGGGGUACCUGAAGUGCGUAACCGCGAGGAGCGCCCUAGGGUAAAAC
rnacentral:rRNA from 1 species